rnacentral:rRNA from 1 species
CCUACGGGGGGCUGCAGUGGGGAAUAUUGGACAAUGGGGGGAACCCUGAUCCAGCCAUGCCGCGUGUGUGAAGAAGGCCCUCGGGUUGUAAAGCACUUUCAGUGAGGAAGAACGCCUGGUGGUUAAUACCCAUCAGGAAAGACAUCACUCACAGAAGAAGCACCGGCUAACUCCGUGCCAGCAGCCGCGGUAAUACGGAGGGUGCGAGCGUUAAUCGGAAUUACUGGGCGUAAAGCGCGCGUAGGUGGCUUGAUAAGCCGGUUGUGAAAGCCACGGGCUCAACCUGGGAACGGCAUCCGGAACUGUCAAGCUAGAGUGCAGGAGAGGAAGGUAGAAUUCCCGGUGUAGCGGUGAAAUGCGUAGAGAUCGGGAGGAAUACCAGUGGCGAAGGCGGCCUUCUGGACUGACACUGACACUGAGGUGCGAAAGCGUGGGUAGCAAACAGGAUUAGAUACCCUAGUAGUC